rnacentral:rRNA from 1 species
UACGAAGGGGGCUAGCGUUACUCGGAAUUACUGGGCGUAAAGGGUGCGUAGGCGGCUUUGUAAGUCAGUGGUGAAAUAUGUCAGCUCAACUGAGAGGGUGCCAUUGAUACUGCAGAGCUUGAGUACAGAUGAGGUAGGCGGAAUUGACGGUGUAGCGGUGAAAUGCUUAGAUAUCGUCAAGAACACCUAUAGCGAAGGCAGCUUACUAGGCUGUAACUGACGCUGAGGCACGAAAGUGUGGGGAUCAAACAGG